AUUGAACGCUGGCGGCAGGCCUAACACAUGCAAGUCGAGCGGAGCGGCGGACGGGUGAGUAAUGCCUAGGCAUCUGCAUGGUAGUGGGGGAUAACGUCCGGAAACGGACGCUAAUACCGAAUACUAUCAGAUGAGCCUAGGUCGGAUUAGCUAGUCGGUGGGGUAAUGGCAUACCAAGGCGACGCUCCGGAGCUGGUCUGCGAGGAUGAGCAGUCACACUGGAACUGAGACACGGUCCGGACGCCUACGGGAGGUAGCAGUGGGGAAUAUUGGACAAUGGGCGAAAGCCUGAUCCAGCCAUGCCGCGUGUGUGAAGAAGGUCUUCGGAUUGUAAAGCACUUUAAGUUGGGAGGCGUUACCAACAGAAUAAGCACCGGGUAACUUCGUGCCAGCAGCCGCGGUAAUAC
rnacentral:rRNA from 1 species